ACAAUCGGUGUUGAAGCCGAGGGAAGCUUGAGGCAAUAACAGGUCCGUGAUGCCCUUAGAUGUUCUGGGCCACAUGCGGGUACACGGGGUUGGUCAAUGGGUUAUUGGGGGGUGUUUUUGCAUUCCUCUCAAUCAUUGAGAGAUGUGGGAAAUCCUUGAAACCAAUCCGUUUCGGGGAUCAUCCAUUGGAAUUAUUGGUCAUGAACGAGGAAUUCUUAGUAAACGCACUUCAUCAGAGUCGCAUCCAUUACGUCCGUGCGAUUCGUACACACCGCCUGUCGAUGGAACCAAGUGAAAGCCAGUGAGAUGGGGGAGGAGGUUUCCCUGGUUGAUCCUGCCAGUAAUAUAAUGCGUUCUAAAGGAUUAACCCACCAUUUUAAGCACACGGAUUAUUACAAGU
rnacentral:rRNA from 1 species